ACGGUAACAGGAAACAGCUUGCUGUUUCGCUGACGAGUGGCGGACGGGUGAGUAAUGUCUGGGAAACUGCCUGAUGGAGGGGGAUAACUACCGGAAACGGUAGCUAAUACCGCAUAACGUCGCAAGACCAAAGAGGGGGACCCUCGGGCCUCUUGCCAUCGGAUGUGCCCAGAUGGGAUUAGCUUGUUGGUGGGGUAACGGCUCACCAAGGCGACGAUCCCUAGCUGGUCUGAGAGGAUGACCAGCCACACUGGAACUGAGACACGGUCCAGACUCCUACGGGAGGCAGCAGUGGGGAAUAUUGCACAAUGGGCGCAAGCCUGAUGCAGCCAUGCCGCGUGUAUGAAGAAGGCCUUCGGGUUGUAAAGUACUUUCAGCGGGGAGGAAGGGAGUAAAGUUAAUACCUUUGCUCAUUGACGUUACCCGCAGAAGAAGCACCGGCUAACUCCGUGCCAGCAGCCGCGGUAAUACGGAGGGUGCAAGCGUUAAUCGGAAUUACUGGGCGUAAAGCGCACGCAGGCGGUUUGUUAAGUCAGAUGUGAAAUCCCCGGGCUCAACCUGGGAACUGCAUCUGAUACUGGCAAGCUUGAGUCUCGUAGAGGGGGGUAGAAUUCCAGGUGUAGCGGUGAAAUGCGUAGAGAUCUGGAGGAAUACCGGUGGCGAAGCGGCCCCUGGACGAAGACUGACGCUCAGUGCGAAAGCGUGGGGAGCAAACAAGAUUAGAUACCCUGGUAGUCCACGCCGUAAACCAUGUCGACUUGGAAGUUGUGCCCUUGAGGCGUGGCUUCCCGAGCUA
rnacentral:rRNA from 1 species